rnacentral:lncRNA from 10 species
CAGGCAGUUCCAAGUACCGGCCUUGUUUAUCAGAGGGAUGGGACGAGAGGGUGAGGUGUGACUUCCCAGAGCAGCGAGCUUCAGUGUCUGACUACAUGGGGCAAGGAAAGACACCAGUGGACAAAAGGUGCUGUGCUGGAGAGAGCAUGUGGAGAGACACCACAGAGAGUGAUGUCCAAGGAUCCUCUGCUGUUCUAGCCUCCAGAUGUUUGGUACCAAAUGGAGAGUGAGUGAGGCUUCCAACCCCACCUUUGAGCCACCCCAGCUGAUCCCAGUAGAGCAGAGAUGAGCUGUCCCCACCAAGUCUUGCCCAGAUUGCAGAUCUGUGAACAAAUAAGAAUUUUUGCUUGAAGCCUCUAUGUUUUGGGGUACUUGGUCACGUAGCCCUAGGGCUAACUGAAGUAUAGUGAGAAGUGACAAGAUUCAAGGUUGUAUAGCUGCUUAGGGGAAGAACAAAGAAAGUACACUCUCCUUGCAUUCAAAGGAUAUUUCUUCAAUUUGCUUGCAGUGUGACCUUUGGCAAGCUACUGAACCUCUCUGUGCCUCAGUUUUCUCAUCUGUAUGAUAGGGAUGAAGAUGGUAUUUCUUCAGAAGGUAGUGAUGAGGAAUAAAUAUCUCAUUCUUGGCAUGUAGGAAAAAGCUAGUAAGUAGCUGGGUUGGGGUUUCAAUUCAGGCAGUCUAACCCUAGACUCUUUACUGGUAAGCUCAGGUCCAGAACAUUCCCACCAAUCCCUGAAAAGGAGGCCAGACGGCAAUAUCCCAGGUACUCCCAUUAUUUUCCCCCAUACGGCAUGAUUCUGAGUCCUCCUUGGCCGCCCUUCUCUGUUCACUGGGCCUUGAUACAUGAUUCUCUGAACUGAAGGCCGCACCAUCACU